AGCUCCGCGGCGUGCGGGCCGGCGCUGAGGGACAGCAGCAGCAGCGGGCUCAGCAGCGACACCCGCAUCCUCGGCGGGGACGGCGGCGGCGGAGCGGCGUGCGAGCCCGCCCGGCCCCGGGGCAGGAGGCGGGAAGGGGCAGAGUUGGUCCAAGCCUGGAUUUUCCAAGCAGCAGCAGUCUCACUUAUGACAAGAAAAAGGUCCAUGGCAGCAGCGAGUGCCAAGUGGUAAUAACCAGCUGCAUCAAAGGGGUCCUGAAAUAAGAGGCUCAAAGAUAAUACAACCAGUGCAAGAGGACUGCAGAGCGCAGGUUUAAGACGGAGCUGCCCUCUGAGCUGUCUUUGGAGCCUGGGAUCAGGACAUCCACUCUUUCUUUUUACCAUUGUUAACUUCAAGGAGAUAUCUGGAGGAAGACAUCAAUUUUCAGUAAUACAAGGUUUGUGAAUCAGCUUUGGAUAACCAGAACAUGCCUCAAAUUCAUAGAUUAUACAUUAUGAUAUAUUUUUUCAUCUUCAGAGACAGGCACACAUAACACUGAUCUACUGCAUGUUUCUUUUACAAUUUUUGUUAUCCUGUAGAUAUAGGAACCUAGCAUGAAACAAUUUUGAGAGACAACUGAUACUUCUGGAUGGAGAAGAAAAAAAAAAAAGAAGAAAAAAACAAGUAGAUUGAUAAUUUGUCAAUUUAGACAUUUCUGGGCAUUCCAAACAUGUCCAGAUUUCCAAAUAUUCCACACAUACCAAAAAUCAAAGCAAACAGAUCCUGACAUCAUAAAAAAAAAAUCCUUGGACAACAAGCAGUAGUUCAGCAUGUUACAACCCUUCAUACUAAACUUAAAUUCAUGGCUAUCUGACAUGUCACCCCACUGCUUCAGAAGGCUUUUAUAAAUCAAAUGUUGUAAAAGCUGAUUCUCAACUAAGCUGGUUGAACAGUACCAACCAAGUUAAACGGUACAACUAAAAGCUCACUUAGAUGAUUUUCCCACCACAUCUGAAAGCAGCUGGAUACCUAUUGCCAAGCUCUUGGCAUCUGUUUAUGAGAAGCUUUUACUACAGAUAAGGGUACAGCUCCAGCCAGCUUCUCUCAUGUAAAGAGGACGUUUGACAAAGCUGCUUUUAUUCCACAUUAAUUUGUUAAUUUAUCUCAAUAACGGUAAAUCAUACAUUUUCAGACACCCAGAUGGGCACAUACAAGCCAAUAAUACCCAGUCAGGAGAAAUUCCAAUUGCAAAGUACAUAAAUAGGUCACACUUCCAGCAAUAUGGUACUGUUGUGCAUACUAAAAUAUUCCACCUCCUCUGAGUUUCACAUUUUAAUCUGAAAAAAUAAAUGGCUUUCACAUUCUAGCCUAA